AAUGUGUGCCAGUACAGGAAAGGAAGGUACCUGUCACACGUGAACUCUUCAGAGGCAGUGAGGACAACAAGAUCUGCAAGCAAGUGAUCCUUUUUAUACAUCGCAUCUACCAGCAAAGAUCAAGUGCCACUACAGGAAAGGAAGGUACCUGUCUCAGGUUUACUCUUCACAGGCAGUUCAUGCCCAGCCGACCAUAUACCUACGUGACAGAUCUCCCGAUGAAGAAGAAGUUCAGUGUCGACCAGUAGACCAAGAUAUCCCAAAGUCAAUUGUACAUGUUUGUGAGUUCAAACCGCAAAUCACCAA